CUCAUAAACUUCUAUCUUUAAUAAUUCAAAAUGUAUUCCAGACCAUCAUCCAGUUCAAGUUCAUCUUCUUCAAAUAAUGAAGAAUAUGAUGAACUCGUUGAUGCAUUGUUCUCAUUCUUGCCCCCAACCACUAGUAGAAUAAACUAAAUUGGAAGCCAUAAAUUGGAAGCGGUUAUUGAAUUCCGCUUCCAAAAAACCAAUUUAAAAAAAAUUAAAAAAAAAAUACAAAUGGGAAGCGGGGUGAACCGCUCCCAAAUAUUAUAAUUAGAAGUGGUUUAAACAUGAACCGCUCCCCAUUUUCCAAAUAAAAUCGGGCUACCAAUAAUAAAUUCACGCCUUCAUCUUCUCUCUCCUCAUUCCCCUAAUUUCUCACGCCUUUCAUCUCUCUCCAUCCCCUUAUCUCUGCUCUCUGCUCUCUCCUCUCUCCUCUCUCCUCUCUCUCCAUCUCCUUCUCCUCUCUCCAUCUCCUUUGGCCACGACAACCACUGCACCCCAUCAACACAGCAACACCGAGCAACAUCACCGGGCACCAGCGAGCAACAACCACCGAACAACAACGAGCAACCCACCGAGAAAAAGCGAGCAACCCACCGAGCAACAACGCCACGCCAACAACAACAACACCGACAACGCAAUUUCAAUGCGUUGGUGGCGUUAGAUGGGUGGUGGCUUCAGAUGCGUGGUGGUGGCUGAAUUACAGAUGCGUGGUGGUGGAAAUACGUAGUAUAUAUUUUCAUACUUAUGUAAUUUUUUUUCUGAAUUAUAAAUGUAAUUUUUUGGACGAAUUAUAAAUGUAAUAUUACAACUUAUUAAUGGAAAUACGUAGUAUAUAUUUUCAUACUUA